ensembl:lncRNA
CUUUAAAGAUUUUUUUUUUUUAAAUAUCCUUCAUUUUCUUUUCUUUUUUUCAGUGAGGAUAUUGUGCAUGUGCUGCAUGUGCUUUGUAUUAAUGAAAUCAUUUAGGAGGGAUACAAUACUCUAAGAGGCAGGAGCCAAUCUUCUGAUGAGGCUACUCAUCUUCAUAUUGUCAGGCACAAAAACAGACACACACACCCAUACACAUACACACACGCACACUGUACAUUCACAGCUACAGGCAUUAACCUGUGGGAAACCUUUAUGAAAGUGCUUCCACUGCCAUGUUCCAAUAUAUAAGAUAAUACAUCCUAAAAUGACUUUUUUGGCCUCACCAUUAAGGCUUUCCAUUUUAAUAAAUGUGAGCAGUGUGGUGAGACAGGUUUGGGGCAAUCUCUAACCGUAUGGUUGUUUUAUCUGUGUUGUCAGUGUGAAAGGAGGGGGAAGGCUUGCCCAGAGAGAGUUCCCCAGGUGCUGCAGAAGAGCCGUUGCACUUAAACUUGUUUCAUGAUAUCAUAAAGCUGCACUAGAUAUCCAAAUGAACAACUCGUGCCUUUCAUUGACCCCUGUACAGAAAAUCACUAGCGACAAUAGGUUUAGAGGGAGAGGAAUAGAAGCUGAAAGGGAAAGGCGGGGGUAGUGAUAAUGUUGGCAAGCCCGGUGUGGGAGCAGGUGCCAGCAGAGAGGAUAAUAAACACAAUACACAUGACAAGAUGGCUACUCACUCCAACUAAUGUCUUUUGGCUGUGGUUAGGUCAUCGGUCUCAAAAUUCCACAUCAGCUUAAUGAGCAUUUCUUUUCUUUGCCUUCUAAUUUUCUGCUCUCGUUUCUUAUUAAUUUCUUUUCUGUCUUUCAUAAACCUGCUGUCCUUCCCUCUCACCCUGCUGUCUUUUUUUUGCUUCUGACCUGCACCUUGGGCUUCUCUCUCUCUCUCUCUCUCUCUCUCUCUCUCUCUCUCUCUCUCUCGCUCUCGCUCUCGCUCUCUAUCUCACCAGUCAGGAUCUUAAUCAGCACCAGAUGGACACGGUGUCGAAAUUGUCCAAGAGGCUCGGAGAACGCAGGGAGCUGUCAGGCCUGUGGAGAGAGUGGAAUUCUUCAGCAAUAAAACUGGGAUUUAUUGCCUCUCUAGACCCUGCUCUGAUAAAAUGUUCCUUUUCAGAUAGAGGGAGGCCACUGUCCAUUACACUCACCCAACUCCACUACCAACCUAACAACAAGCUGCUGUCAGAGACCGAAAGCCUUCUCAUCCCCUACCGAGCCAAAUGAACCUGCUAAAAUAGCUGCUUUCCACAAUAGACUGGGGUGAUAAAUUAUACAGUCAUGCUAAAAGAACCUUGCCACACAAGACAGACUUCCACAGGGUACCUGGCUUGCUGACAGUUACCUGUUCAGCCCUCUGGUGCAGGAAUAAAAUGAACUCUAUUAUGAGUCAGAUGCAUAAAUAUUUCCAUUUCUAUUUUCCAAAACUGUUUUUAAUUUUACAAGUUUUAUAGCUCUAAUAUUAAGUGC